rnacentral:rRNA from 1 species
AUUGAACGCUGGCGGCAGGCCUAACACAUGCAAGUCGAGCGAGCGGCGGACGGGUGAGUAAUGUAUGGGGACUGCCCGAUAGAGGGGGAUAACAACUGGAAACGGUGGCUAAUACCGCAUACUAUCGGAUACCACACAUGGGAUUAGAUAGUAGGUAAGGUAAUGGCUUACCUAGGCGACGAUCCCUAGCUGGUCUGAGAGGAUGAUCAGCCACACUGGGACUGGGACACGGCCCAGACUCAUACGGAGGCAGCAGUGGGGAAUAUUGCCCAAUGGGCGAAAUCCUGAUGCAGCCAUGCCGCGUGUAUGAAGAAGGCCCUAGGAUUGUAAAGUACUUUCAGUCGGGGGGCGUUACCGACAGAAGAAGCACCGGCUAACUCCGUGCCAGCCGCCGCGGUAAUAC